rnacentral:rRNA from 1 species
UACGUAGGGUGCAAGCGUUGUCCGGAAUUAUUGGGCGUAAAGAGCUCGUAGGCGGUCUGUCGCGUCGGCUGUGAAAACCCGGGGCUCAACCCCGGGCCUGCAGUCGAUACGGGCAGACUAGAGUGCGGUAGGGGAGAACGGAAUUCCUGGUGUAGCGGUGAAAUGCGCAGAUAUCAGGAGGAACACCGGUGGCGAAGGCGGUUCUCUGGGAAUGACCUGACGCUGAGGAGCGAAAGUGUGGGGAGCGAACAGG